rnacentral:rRNA from 1 species
UACGAAGGCCCCAAGCGUUGUUCGGAAUCACUGGGCGUAAAGGGAGCGUAGGCGGCGUGGUAAGUCAGAUGUGAAAUCCCGGGGCUCAACCCCGGAACUGCAUCCGAUACUGCCGUGCUUGAGGGUUGGAGAGGUAGCUGGAAUUCUCGGUGUAGCAGUGAAAUGCGUGGAUAUCGAGAGGAACACUCGUGGCGAAGGCGAGCUACUGGACAACAUCUGACGCUGAGGCUCGAAGGCUAGGGGAGCAAAAGGG